AUUGAACGCUGGCGGCAUGCUUUACACAUGCAAGUCGAACGGUAACAGGCCGCACGGUGCUGACGAGUGGCGGACGGGUGCGUAAUGCAUCGGAACGUGCCCAGUCGUGGGGGAUAACUACUCGCAAGAUUAGCUAAUACCGCAUACGAUCUAUGGAUGGAAUCGGGGGUCCGUAAGGCGGCGCGCGAUUGGAGCGGGCGAUGUCUGAUUAGGUAGUUGGUGGGGUAAAGGCUCACCAAGCCAACGAUCUGUAGGGGGUCUGGGAGGACGACCAGCCACACUGGGACUGAGACACGGCCCAGACUCCUACGGGAGGCAGCAGUGGGGAAUUUUGGACUAAGGGCGCAAGCCUGAUCCAGCAAUGCCGCGUGCAGGAAGAAGGCCUUCGGGUUGUAAACUGCUUUUGUACGGAACGAAACGGCUCUGGUUAAUACCCGGGGCUAAUGACGGUACCGGAAGAAUAAGCACCGGCUAACUACGUG
rnacentral:rRNA from 1 species